AGUGCUUCCGAAAAGCCGGCGCACGACUUCACUCCCCCGCGAGGUGCCUCGGCCUGGGGUCCGGGCUUCGGGGCCAAAAGGACCGCCGCAGGGACCUCUGUCUGGCCAGAUAACGCGGCAGUGGCCCUCCGGUAAAUGACCAAAUACAACGAGGGUCCAUUCUCGUUCUUUUCUUGGAUACGAUGUCCCGGGAAGGCCUUCGCGGGGGAUGCUUUGCCUCCCUGUGGGUGUUGCCGGCAUACGCAGGAGCUUGAAGGGGAUCAUGUGGAGAAAUCAGGCAAACGGGUAUCUAGAGCUAAAGUGAAUACCAGUGAUAAAGACAGACUGUGAGAAGCCAAGAGCAAGCAAAAGUUACAGGGAUGCAGACACUAGUAGGAAACAUCAUAGAGACAGAGGAAAACCCUGGGACAUCAACGUGUGAAAACUACGCAGGAAAAUGCAGGUCCCCUCUCAUACUACUAGCCUUUUGCACUCGGAUGUCGAGUGUGACUCGACAUGGUUAGCAUUAGAAUAAAGGAAUCGAGAAAAAAGCAAGCGAGUGCAAAGGGCUAGGAAUGGUUUUAAAUAGUGAGGAUUUGGAGCCCUAUUCACAAAUUGGUUUUCUUCAAAUCUAAUGUCAAAACAACAUGCAAA